UUUCCGUAGGUGAACCUGCGGAAGGAUCAUUAAUGUGUUUGGGCCUCACGGCUCUUCAUUCCGACGCUGUGCGCCUUCGGGCUGCACGCUGAGGGAGCAUAUAUCCACCCCUGUGCACACACACGGUGGCGAGCUGGGUAACGGCUCGCCGCUGAUCUUUACACACGUCUAAAAGUCAUUGUAUGUUAAUUUGAGAUAAAAACACAACUUUCAGCAACGGAUCUCUUGGCUCUC
rnacentral:misc_RNA from 1 species